AAGUCGUAACAAGGUUUCCGUAGGUGAACCUGCGGAAGGAUCAUUAUCACGUUAAUCCACGUAUCAACCAUCUGUGAACCGUACCUCAACCUCUGGUGUUUCCUUGUGCUCCUCCUUUUCCUUUCUCUCUCUUCCUCUCACAGGGAGGUUGCGGAAGAAGAAGAAGAGUGCAAGGGAGGAUCCGAGCGUAUUUUACCUUUUUUUUUUCUUCAAAAAAAAAAACCAUUAACCACUCUAACCAAAACCUUAUAACUUCAUGAACUAAUCUUUUUUUCAUACUCUUCGGAGAUGAAAUUCAUUACGAAACAAAGAACAACUCUUAGCAACGGAUAUCUUGGUUCUC
rnacentral:misc_RNA from 1 species